GAUGAAGAACGCAGCGAAAUGCGAUAAGUAAUGUGAAUUGCAGAAUUCAGUGAAUCAUCGAAUCUUUGAACGCACCUUGCACCCUUUGACAUUCUGAAGGGUAUGCUCGUUUGAGUGUCAUUGUACUCUCACACUCCCGAUCUUUGCAUUGGGAGCAGUGGACUUGGGUUUGCUGCUUCACCGUCGCUUACCUCAAAUAGGUUAGUGCAACUCUUGGUUGGACAUAGUACGGCGUGAUAAGUGUUCUUCGCCGGUGCCUCGCAAAGAGGGUGGCCGAUCGGGAUGUUGUGCUCCAAACCGUCUUCGGACAAUCUCUGACGACUUGACCUCAAAUCGAGUAAGACUACCCGCUGAACUUAAGCAUAUCAAUAAGCGGAGGA
rnacentral:misc_RNA from 1 species